rnacentral:misc_RNA from 1 species
CUAAUUCGCAGCUCUUUUACCCUUCUUCUUUUUAAUCCUUUUCCAAACAAUUAAUUAUUUCAUGUUACAUUUCAAAGCAAGUUAGCUCCUACCUCUUUUGAAUAAGAUAGCAUCAUCUGAUAUUCAUCAACGACCACAAGCAACAACUGCAGAAUGUUUGAUUAACAAAAGGACAAGGUCUUAUGAACAACUAAGAAGUAAGAACAUUUCUCAAACAAAUGUUAAUAUGGG